UACGUAGGUGGCAAGCGUUGUCCGGAAUUAUUGGGCGUAAAGCGCGCGCAGGCGGUCUUUUAAGUCUGAUGUGAAAGCCCACGGCUCAACCGUGGAGGGUCAUUGGAAACUGGGGGGACUUGAGUGCAGGAGAGAAGAGUGGAAUUCCACGUGUAGCGGUGAAAUGCGUAGAGAUGUGGAGGAACACCAGUGGCGAAGGCGACUCUUUGGCCUGUAACUGACGCUGAGGCGCGAAAGCGUGGGGAGCAAACAGG
rnacentral:rRNA from 1 species